UCGGAGUUCAGUCUUCCCAGGCCCACCACGCUUCGCCGUCGGCUUCGCAUGGCACCGCCAGGCAGAACGACGAGGCGAAGCGCGUCCGGCAUAGCCCGAAGGGCGACGCCGGACAGAAAGAGCGCUUCGUCUUCUGGUUACGGGGCCAUAGCUCAGCUGGGAGAGCGCGUGCUUUGCAAGCAUGAGGUCGUCGGUUCGAUCCCGUCUGGCUCCACCAGAUGGUUUGAUCACCGAGAUCUUGACCGUCGUCCGCGAAACAUCACUUCGCAUCCUGCUAGUCUGGAUAGACAGCAAGUUGCGUGUUUUCUGACAUCGUAAAGAGGAGAUCGAUCCGAGUUGGAUCGUGCAACAUAUCGUUGCGCGAGCCUUCAUUAUCUCCGGAUCAUUUCGGCGCUCGCUUCCAGCCGUGAGGUUGGAUGCGGGUUGUAAAUGAUCCUUUUAGCGAAGCUUGACCGCCUCGCUAUCGGAACGAUCUUACGAAGCAAGCUGGUCUUUCUAGUCAAUGUCCGGCUGUACGUAGCAUUCAUCGAGGGUGCGCGCCCGAGAUUUCGGUCUCUUGGCAAUCGUACAGACAACAUUCUGCCGAGUGUGUGGACAUUGAUAAUGAGAGCAAUCAAGUGCCUUAAGGGUGUUCGGUGGAUGCCUUGGCGCUGAGAGGCGAUGAAGGACGUGCUACGCUGCGAUAAGCCGUGGGGAGCUGCGAAGAAGCUUUGAUCCGCGGAUUUCCGAUG
rnacentral:misc_RNA from 1 species